CCGGUCACGCCAUCGUCGCUGCCUUCUUCGUCAAGCCCCCAGGCUCCGCUCUUGCCAGAGGGACAGGAGCCAUGGCUCAGAAAAUGGACUGUGGUGCGGGCCUCCUCGGCUUCCAGGCUGAGGCCUCUGUAGAAGACAGCGCCUUGCUUAUGCAGACCUUGAUGGAGGCCAUCCAGAUCUCAGAGGCUCCACCUACUAACCAGGCCACUGCAGCUGCUAGUCCCCAGAGUUCACAGCCCCCAACUGCCAAUGAGAUGGCUGACAUUCAGGUUUCAGCAGCUGCCGCUAGGCCUAAGUCAGCCUUUAAAGUCCAGAAUGCCACCACAAAAGGCCCAAAUGGUGUCUAUGAUUUCUCUCAGGCUCAUAAUGCCAAGGACGUGCCCAACACGCAGCCCAAGGCAGCCCUUAAGUCCCAAAAUGCCACCCCAAAGGGUCCAAAUGCUGCCUAUGAUUUUUCCCAGGCAGCAACCACUGGUGAGUUAGCUGCUAACAAGUCUGAGAUGGCCUUUAAGGCCCAGAAUGCCACUACUAAAGUGGGCCCAAAUGCCACCUACAAUUUCUCUCAGUCUCUCAAUGCCAAUGACCUGGCCAACAGCAGGCCUAAGACCCCCUUCAAGGCUUGGAAUGAUACCACUAAGUCCCCAACAGCUGAUACCCAGACCCAGAAUGUAAAUCAGGCCAAAAUGGCCACUUCCCAGGCUGACAUAGAGACCGACCCAGGUAUCUCUGAAUCUGACGGUGCAACUGCACAGACAUCAGCAGAUGGUUCCCAGGCUCAGAAUCUGGAGUCCCGGACAAUAAUUCCAUCAAGGCGCUCAGAAAUGCUGAGAGCAUAUCAUCCGAGAACAGCCAGUGGGGGAUCAGGAGGCGGCGCCCCACUGGCUGCAGGGACCCGCGGAGGUCUGCACCAGUUCCAGUGACCCUCAGAACCCACCUGGCCGCACCCCAACGUUGCCCUCUGGCAGCAUCCGUUGGCUUGGCAGAACGCCCUCAGGCUGGCAAAACCAGACAGCCAGGCGACACCGCACCAGCACGUCGCAGAGCCCUCCAGCUAGGCAGCGCCCACCAGCGCUGGCAAACCCAGUUUGCUUGGCAGAAACCAGUGAUCUGGGGCCAACCAGAUCUGGCAGUACCCAGUGAUCUGGCCAAACCCUUGUGCUGCCUGGCCCGUUGCGUCUGGGGCCCGCAAUCCACUUGGGCCUGGCGGAUCAACCUGGGAUGGCCAGGACCCACUUGGGAUGGCCAGACCCCCCAGGGCUGGGCAGACGGGUUUCCUCCAGACUGGGCCAAGGGCUCCUCGCUGA